UAAAGAGCACCAAUUAUGCUAAUAAAUUAGCACGUUAGCACGUUAUUGUAAUAUCCCAUAGUACAUACAUGUUAUUAAAACUUGAACUAAUGCACUGUGAGUCUUAUAAAUUGCUUACAUACCUCACCGAUUUCUGCAUGUCUGGAAAACGCUCGGAUUUAGUUCCUGUCUCCGCCUCCCAAAAUGUGUAGUGUAUUCGGAUUGGUCAGAUGACUACUCAACUGUUAUUGGUCAACUGGGUUCGGCGUGUGUUUGAAAGGUUACGCCCCUGACUACGCGUGGGUUUUCCGGUUCUGACUGAGAGUCACAGGCAACGUAAACAAGCGUUAUAUUUCUCUAUAAACGAUGGUGUCUGUACCGCCUUACCACUUCAAGCUCGAUCCAGAGAGUUCAGACGGCCGUUACGAUAUAAACGAUCUCCGUCAAUGAACGCGAUUGGAUUUAACUUUUUUAGGUGUCCUUAGCUCUGCCAGAAUGCUAAACGAAGACGAAAAUGUGUUGCAAAGACAUCCAAAAGGUUUUAAGGAGAAUGCAACAUGUUCCAGGGCCUCUUACCUGCGUGAUUCAUCAUCCAGGUUUUGCACAAAUUGUCUAAAUCCCUACACACAGAACAUUUAUUGUACCGACUAUAAGCCUUUGAGGUGCAGGACUAGAAUACGCUUGGAGCUUCCUGAUCAGAUCGGUCACAAUUUUGGCUUUCGACGACCCCUGCACUGAAGAUGGCAUGCAAUCACGUCCUCCUUUGAAGGUCUCUCAAACUGUGAUGCCAGGUCCAUUGGAAUCGGGGUUUCC